UACGUAGGGUCCGAGCGUUGUCCGGAAUUACUGGGCGUAAAGAGCUCGUAGGUGGUUUGUCGCGUUGUUCGUGAAAACUCACAGCUCAACUGUGGGCGUGCGGGCGAUACGGGCAGACUGGAGUACUGCAGGGGAGACUGGAAUUCCUGGUGUAGCGGUGGAAUGCGCAGAUAUCAGGAGGAACACCGGUGGCGAAGGCGGGUCUCUGGGACGUGACUGACGCUGAGACGCGAAAGCGUGGGGAGCAAACAGG
rnacentral:rRNA from 1 species